rnacentral:rRNA from 1 species
UGGGGGAUAUUGCACAAUGGGCGAAAGCCUGAUGCAGCGACGCCGCGUGGGGGAUGAAGGCCUUCGGGUUGUAAACUUCUUUUGCUCUGAACAAGGCAUGCCUUUGGGGUGUGUUGAGUGUAGGGGUUGAUUAGCGCCGGCUAACUACGUGCCAGCAGCCGCGGUAAUACGUAGGGCGCGAGCGUUGUCCGGAAUUAUUGGGCGUAAAGGGCUUGUAGGUGGUUUGUCGCGUCUGUCGUGAAAUCCUGUGGCUUAACCAUGGGCUUGCGGUGGGUACGGGCAGGCUUGAGUGCGGUAGGGGAGACUGGAAUUCCUGGUGUAGCGGUGGAAUGCGCAGAUAUCAGGAGGAACACCGGUGGCGAAGGCGGGUCUCUGGGCCGUUACUGACACUGAGGAGCGAAAGCGUGGGGAGCGAACAGG